rnacentral:tRNA from 1 species
GGGGGUGUAUCUCAGUGGUAGAGCACUUGCCUAGCACAUUAAGGCCCUGGGUUCAAUCCCCAGCACCUCAA